rnacentral:rRNA from 1 species
GUGGGGAAUUUUGGACAAUGGGCGCAAGCCUGAUCCAGCAAUGCCGCGUGCAGGAAGAAGGCCUUCGGGUUGUAAACUGCUUUUGUACGGAACGAAACGGUCCGGGUUAAUACCCUGGGCUAAUGACGGUACCGUAAGAAUAAGCACCGGCUAACUACGUGCCAGCAGCCGCGGUAAUACGUAGGGUGCAAGCGUUAAUCGGAAUUACUGGGCGUAAAGCGCGCGCAGGCGGUUUUGUAAGACAGGCGUGAAAUCCCCGGGCGCAACCUGGGAAUUGCGCUUGUGACUGCAAGGCUGGAGUGCGGCAGAGGGGGAUGGAAUUCCGCGUGUAGCAGUGAAAUGCGUAGAUAUGCGGAGGAACACCGAUGGCGAAGGCAAUCCCCUGGGCCUGCACUGACGCUCAUGCACGAAAGCGUGGGGAGCAAACAGGAUUAGAUACCCUAGUAGUCC